rnacentral:lncRNA from 1 species
CGUCUAUGAAGUUUUUAAAAUUCCACAAACAAAUUGAAGAUACUACAUGUGUCUUGUAAGGUGUAGUGGGCCAAAUUUGCCCGGCCCGAAUAAAAACAAUAAAUGAUAUAAAAAUCUAGAUAUCAAUAGUCCAUUAUUUACAACCCAAAAUCAAACCAAAUUAACCCCAAUGUUUCAAGACCCAAAUUACAAAUCCAUUUACAAAAUGACAUAGCCCAAUACCCCAAACGGCCCAGAAACUGAGCCCCAUUUUGGCAAACCCUAGGGCAAGGGUCUCCUUGUGCCGCAGCCCUCACUAGCAGCCAAACCACAUUGCGCCAGACAACGCCUCCAACAGCACCAGCGCACAGCCCUCGUACGCCACGCCCGUACCUCCGUACGAUGCCAGCAGACUCCGUACCUGCGAAAAAGACACACAGAACAGCAGCGAAUAGGGAAGAAGAAAAUAGCAUUUUCAUUUUUUGAUUUUUCUUUCUUUUCGGCUAUAAAGGCCAUGUAAUAGCCUAGGUGAGUUUUUUACGCAACAUAAACGCACAAUAGGCCAUACAGACACAAUCAAUACAUUUUGAAAUACAAAAAAGCAACGAGCAUUCGAAGGUGAUUCCGAUUCAUAAUUUCUGAGAUUUUUUCCUUUUCUUCUUGGCUUAGUUUCAUUCUCCCUGGAAUUUCUUUUUGUUCUUUCGCAUUUUGGGUUGUAUAAAAGAGAGAGGAAAUGAAAUCUUACCCCGUGAAUACGCCGUGAGAUAUCCUCUGAUUCGUUGAAAUCGGGGUCCGAGAGGAGUAUAAGGCGGAAAGAAAACCAUCUUGAGGCUCGAACAGGCCGAUCUCCAUUCAUUGCGGUGGAUUGGCAUGGCAGAUGGAGGGUCAAGGUUCGUUUGAGGGGAGUAAAAAUGGAGGCUAGGGUUUGGAGGUGCUGGCUUAAUCUGCUGAUUGAGCCAUUUUAUAGGACCUCAAACUGUGUCGCAUUGACAUCAAAGCCCGACCCGAUUCGAUUCCAAACCCGAUGACCCGCGUGUUUUUGCGGUGAGGGACUAUUUGCACAUUAAAUCCCUCCCUUUUGCGCCACGUUUAAAUCAAUCCAUAUUUUUAUUCCAUUUCUUUUAAUUUAGGCUUGUAUUUUGAGCUCAUUUGCAAUGGGGUCCGCACAUGUACACAGCGUUUUGGGAGUCUGGAAUAAUUUCAGUUUUGAUCCUUGCAUAUUCGUAUACAUUAUGCGCUGGCCCUUAUCUGUAUUUACAAAUUAUCCUUCCAUUUUAACGUGGUUUCAAUUAGACCCUCUCUUUUAUGUGAUUUCAAUUAUUUUUUUUAGAUUCACCUCAUGUUUUAUUUUAUUUUACUUGUGUUCAUUUACUCGUGUUCAUCGUCUAACUUGCAUCAUUUACUUAUUGUAAUUUGGGUAACUAUGCUUUCAUAUUUUGCGUAUUACCUCAUGUAAUUGUUUUCUUUAUAUACGCUAUUGUACAUAUAUAUUUGUACUUUACAUUAAAGUCAAUUUCAUUUCAUAUAUAUAUACAUUGUUAACCUUAUGUUAUUUUAUACAUGUGUUGUCUUAAAUUUAUUAUUGUAGUUUAUUACAUGGUCCUAUAUAAUAUAUUUUCUCAAUUAUUAUUAUAUACAUAUAUGUUUAUAGAUAUCUAUACUUGAUAUCUAUAUAUAUAUUAUUAAAUCUAUGUAUUUUAUGCAUGUAGUUUUUCUCUUUUUUCAUAUAUGUAAGUAUAUUCUUCAAUUCAUUAUAUAAUUUAUAAUAAAAUCAGUUUUAGCUUGCAUAUAUUUCUAUGUUUUUUACAAAUAAUUAUUUUUUAAAAAAAGGGGGGUUAUUUAUAUAUAUAUAAUUUGUAGAUCCAUUGCAUUUUUGAAGAUUAUAUCGUACUAUAUAUUUUUAUUAUUACCGUUUUUAAUAUAUUUUACACAUACUUUAAAUUAUUAUUCUAUACAUCCUCGUUUUUUUUUUAAAAAUCAAUAUUAUUCUACGUUUUGGUAUGAUUUUCGAUUUAAACAUUCAUUUUAUAAUAUUUUUUAAAAUGAUUAAGCGUAUAUCCCUAGUUUUUCCUUUUUUACAAAUAAAUUUUAAAUGCACCAAUUCAUUAAUUUGCAUGUCAUAAAGAUUUUUGGUUCAUUAGAUCGCAUUUGUUCCGACAUCGUCUUAUACCACUUUGACUUCUAAAUUCUAUUUUGUUUUGCAUACGCUCUUUUGGUUGCUUUAUAUAUGUACAUUCCUUGCGUGGCAUCCACCUUAUUGAACUGUUAAUUACUCAUCAUAUAUGAUUGAAAUUAGGCUAUAAUUCCUAGAUUAAUUAUAUUUAAUUGCUUGUUCUGCUAGUUGAUUCAUUAAGUAUUGUAUCUCGUAUGUGUAUAUUACCUCAUUCAUCGUUUUCCAUUUGAUUUUCGAAAUGCGGUUUUAUAAAAUCCAAAUUUUAUGAUUAAUCUCGUACUAUUUCAAAUUGAAUUAAUACGUCUUAAGCUAGCUCUAUAAUCAUUCAUUCAAAAAUUCUUUAAAAACGAAGGCAAGAUUCGAUGUUUGGCAAUUCGUGGAAUCGUGCCCUAACGUGUUGGGUUGCGAUUUCGCGUUUGCUCAAAAUAAUCGAAUAUCACUUCGAAAUUUCACUCACGCCUUUUAAAAUUCCUCAAAACGAAGACGAGGUUUGAUAUUUAGCAAUUCGCAGAAUCGUGCCCUAACGUGUUGGGUUGCAAUUUUGCGUUUGUUCAAAAUAAUCGGGCUUCCCUUCAAAAUUCCAUUCAUAUCUCCUAAAAUUUUUUAAAUGAAGGCAAUGUUCGACGUUUGAUAAUUUGAGAAUCAUGCUCUAUCGCGUUGGGUUGUGGUUCCUGGUUUGCUCAAAAUGAUCGAACAUUCCUUUACAUUCUCACUCAUGUUUAUAAAAAAAAUACUUAAAAACGAAAACGAUGUUCAAUGUUUGGCGAUUUGAGAAUCGUGCCCUAUCGUGCUGGGUUGCGCUUUUUCAUUGGUCUGAAACAAUUGAAGAUCCCUUCAGAAUUUCCCUCGCACUUUCUAAAAUCUUUUAAAAUAAAGGCGAUGUUCGAUGUUUGGCGAUUUGAGAAUCGAGCCCUAUCAUGCUGGGUUGCGCUUUCUCAUUUGCCCAAAAUAAUCGAAUAUCUCCUCGAAAUUUUCACACGUAUUUUAUAAAGUAAGGCAAUGGUCAAUAUUUAGAAAUUCGAAGAAUCGUACCCUACUGUGCUGGGUUUCGAUUUUUCGUUGGACUAAAUAGUUGAGCAUCAUUCUGUAAUUCUCAAAUUAUAUACCUUCGGGCAUCGAAACAAGAAAUUUUGGCAACCAAGUCGGAUCACUCAAACGUUAUAAAAGGAACCACAUUUCAAAAAACUUUUAAUUUUAGACAUAAGGACAGUAUUUAAUUGACUUGGUACCAAUUUUGGGCGUAGUGAGGGUGCUAAUCCUUCCUCAUGCGUAACCGACUCCCGAACCUGUUUUCUCAAAAGUUCGUAGACCAAAAUUAUUGUUUUAAUAAACCAAAAAUGUUUAUUUAAACUAACCUCAUUUUUAGGUGAUUCGAUCACACCAAAAUAAAAGAUCGGUGGCGACUCCAUAUUUUCAUUUUCCAAAAAGUCGAUUCCACCAUUUUUCAUUAAAAUAAUUUUUUUUUAAAAUCGUGGGAUGGUUUCGACAGCUUGGCGACUCCGGUGGGGAUUUGAACUUGAGAGUCGAGCCAUAAAAAUCGAUUAUUUACUGUCCUUUUGUUAAAAAACCGAAAAUUUAUUUUAAAAAUCAUGUAUAUUUCGAUUGCAUUUGAUUGUAUGUUUGUGCGGGCCUUGUAGAAUAGCACUGCAUUUCAUUGCAUGACCACUGUGGUUACACCUUCUAAGUGGAAGUAAGAAGCUACGCUUUCGUGAGGUUUUCACCUCCGCAUGGGCUAGUGGAUUGCUUCCGGGGUACAUCCGUACCUAUGAUUUCGUGAGAUUUUCAUCUCUGCAUGGUCAUAGGGAAAUGUAUCCCCUCGAACCGAACUCGAUCUAUAUGAGCUUAUAAUGGGUGAGGAUUGAGGAAUCUGCUGGUUCGGGUACCCAUUUUCCUAGAACUAAACCACAUAUAGUGAACCUUAGGAGCUAUCCUUGGGUGGAGCCGCGUCGAACCUUAGUACUUACCCGUACAUGCGUUAUAAUCACCGUUUAUGUGCUUGCAUUCUAUUGCUAUUAUUUGAUACUAACCGAUGUUUUGUUUUGAUUGUCUUUUUUGCAUGACAUUGCAUAUUAAAGGAGGCGUUAAUCUACAUUCAAUUACUAAGUUAGAAAAUUUGACAUGGAGAAUGAAUUUUUUAGUAAAGUCGAGGAUAAUGCGGCCGUUCGUGCUUGGUCGGAGAGGCUACAAUCUGAGAGAGGGGAUAGCUUGGCAGAAGGGUAUGUGUCGGAGCUGUAGGAUUUCACUCGCGUCAAUGUAGUACAGAAUAAGCUGCAAUAGUUGAGAGACAUUUGGGUUAGUUGGGAUGAAAGGAUCAAGCAGUUGUUUUACCAAAGUUAUGGUGACAUAUCCUACCUGCUAGACAUUAAAGUGGAUAAGCAUUUGUUCCGAGCCUUGGUGCAGUUUUGGAAUUCCGCAUAUAAGUGUUUUACCUUUGGAGAAGUGGAUUUGGUACCUACCAUGGAGGAAUAUACUACGCUGCUUAGAUGUCCAAAGAUUCAGGUCUGGAAGACUUAUGCCCGGGUUUUUAGUAAUCAGGCUUUCGUGAAGAAACUGAUGAGCAUUUCUGGGAUGAGCGAGUCUUGGGUCACUGCUCGGAUUCAGCAGAAAGGAGAUAGCAAAUGUGUCCCUUGGGAGAAUUUGCGAGAUUUGAUCUUGACUCAUCUAGACGAAAGAAAGAGGGUCGAUAUAUUUGCCUUAAGCAUCUACGGAUUAGUGAUCUUUCCUACGGCUUUGAGGCACGUGGACGAGGCGGUCAUUGACUUGUUUGAUCGUCUUGAAAAGGGAAUCACACCGGUACCGGCAAUAUUGGCAGAAACGUUCAGAUCUUUGAGCUUAUGUCAGAAGACGGGUGAGGGGCGAUUUAUUGGAUGUGCUCAACUAUUGAUGGUAUGGUUUCAUGGGAACUUUUGGAAGGUAGACAAGGUUUCCUAUCGAGUCUUUUCCAAAGGUUAUUCCCCUUUGAAAGAAGAGGUAGCUAUACAGAGGAGAAAGGAUAUCUCAGAAGAGAAGUGGAUGGAUAUUUUUCAGAACCUUAAGGAGGAGGAUAUCGAGUGGAGUGCUUAUUGGAUGGUUCCUGAUGAGAUCAUGUACCAAUGUGGUAACUUUGAUUGGGUGCCAUUGUUAGGAAUUUGGGGAGCUACCGGGUAUACUCCGUUGAUAGCCUUGAGGCAAUACAAGUCGAGGCAGUUUGUACCCACGACCUAUGGACUUGCUCAGAGUGAAUUCUCGUUUAAAGGUGCUCACUAUUAAAAGAGAGUUCGGGAGUUAUCGGAUGCUUGGAAGCAAACUUGUUAGAUGAAGAGGUUAGCCGUCGGUUCUAUGGUAACGCCCGAGUACAGCAAGUGGUUUAAGAAGAGGAUUAAUGAUAAUAUUCCUAGGCCAAGCUUAGAGAAUGCUCGGCCUAUCGGGGAACAAUUACAAGUCGCCCCAUCAGAAUUGGAGAUUAUAAAACAAGAUUUCGAGAAGAAGAGUUUGGAGUUUGGUAAGAAGAUCGAACAAUUAGAGGAAGAGAAGAUGCACCUAAGAUUAGAGGCUGAUGUCCAAAGGUCAGAGGCUGAGAAGUGGAGAAAAGGAAAAACUAAGGCUGAAGAAGAUCUAGACAGUUUGAAAAUGGACUACAAAAAGUUACGCCUAUCUAUGAGGAUUGCGGGUUUAGGUAAGACUUCCGAACAAUGGCGCCAUGAAAUUCGGGAAGAAAAAACCAAUACCGACCGGUGGGAAAGGAAAUUUCGAGAAACUCAAGCACGAAACGAAGAUUUGGAGAAAAGUCUAUCAGAAAGCAGAAAUGAGCAAGGGGAAUUAAGGGCUAGAGUGGCAGAACUCGAGAAGUCCCUACAUCAGUACCGAAACCGCAACACCGUGACAGAAUUGAGGGCAAGCUUGAGCAAAAUACAAGAAAUGAAAGGAAGAAUAGAAGAGUUAGAGGCGUCACUGCAAAAUUGUGAUAUGCGAAUCCAGUUUUUUGAGGCAAACGAGGAUCGUUGGAAGGAGCAACUUCACCAUGCGCAAGGCCAAGUUAGAAAUAGGGAUUACCUUAUGGGAGAGGCCAUAACCCAGAUCCGGGAGGUAGCGGACUACUUGCAAACUCUAGCGGUUCAGGCAGACACACUAAGCGUGAAAUAUGAGUUAGAGUCGGAGCGCGAACAAGAGCUGGCCUCAUUGCUUAGAAAAAUUAGGACUUUGAGCGUUAGAGCAAAAUUAUAUUUGUAACUCGACUUUAUGUAAAAGAUUUUAUUUUCAAGUAAAAUUUUCUAAGGGCUGUUGAAUCAAAAUUGAUGCCUCCUUUACAUUCAUGCAUUUGCAUUACAUCAUAUCAUUAUGCAUUAAAGGCCAUUAGAGUUUUCUAAUUAAUUAACUAAAAAUUAUUUCAAUAACCUGGAAACCAAUGAAAACCAACCACGCACCCCUACAGUACAAGGAAAAAAUCAAUGGAUAAGAGACUCGAGAAAUUAGAGCGGAUGCAAAAAGACAUGCAAGAACAAAUACAGUCUCAGAUGCAAGAGCAGCUAGCCAAGAUUCAGUGAGAGAUGAAAGAGCAAAUGAUGGAGUCCCAGAGGGAAAUGAUGAGUCAGUUAUCCCAAUUGUUGUUGGGAGGAACGGAUAAGGGAAAGGGCCCCAUGGACAAAGUUGAAGAAGCUAAUGAGGAUCCUCAAUACCCCCUGGCUUCACUCUGACACAUGUACCGGUGAAGCUCGAGAUUAAUCUACCGAAGCCAUCUGUCACGAUCAUACCCCAGCAGGUUCAGGCUGGAGCUUCAAUACUGAUGAAUUUCCAAACCGGCUUAGGCUCCAACUUUGUCAACAACCCGAACUAUCCGCCCAUUCCCGAUUUGGAUGAAAUUGCUGAAGAAGAAAAGGCGAGGAUGGAUUCGCAAAAACAAUUGGAAAAACGGUGUAGAUGGCUCGAAGAGAAAUUUAAAGCCAUGGAAAGCGCGGAUCAUCAUCAAGGGAUUAAUGCCAAGGACCUAAGUUUAGUCCCAGAUUUAGUCCUUCCCCCCAAAUUCAAAAUGCCCAAGUUCGAGAAAUACAAUGGAACAAGUUGCCCUGAAGCUCAUAUCAUUAUGUUCUGCAGGCGAAUGACGGGAUAUGUUAACAAUGACCAGCUAUUAAUCCACUACUUUCAAGAUAGUUUGGUCGGGGCGGCGUCUAAGUAGUACAACCAAUUAAGCCGCUCUAAGAUUAACUUGUGGAAGGACCUGGCCCAAGCCUUUAUGAAGCAAUACAAUCACGUGACAGACAUGACCCCUGACAGAAUCACUCUCCAGAAUAUGGAGAAGAAAUCGAAUGAAAGCUUCAGGCAGUACGUAUAAAGAUGGAGGGAGGUGGCCAUACAAGUUCAGCCGCCACUUCUAGAAAAGGAGAUAACGAUACUCUUUAUAAAUACCUUGAAGGCCCCUUUUAUCACUCAUAUGUUGGGAAGCGCCACCAAGAGCUUCUCCGACAUAGUGAUGAUGGGAGAAAUGAUCGAAAAUGCUGUAAAGAGCGGCAAGAUAGAAUCGAGAGAGAGUGCUAGGAAGUUAGCCCCGAGGAGAAAAGACAAUGAAGUGAACAACACGAGCACAUUCAACAAGGGGCAGCCCAAGUCAAUUACCGUAAAUCAACCCAAAAUGGUGACUACCAAUCAACAAAGUUCUGUAAGGCAAGAAUCCAAUGCGAGGAAGAACAUAGAAAGGCCACAAUACACCCCUAUACCCAUGUCCUAUAGAGAGUUGUACCAGAACCUGUUCAACGCUCAUGUGGUAUCCCCUUUCUACCUGGAGCCACUGCAGUCCCCGUAUUCCAAAUAGUAUGACGCGAAUGCCCAAUGUGAGUACCACGCGGGAAUCACCGGGCACUCAAUCGAAAAUUGCACUGCGUUUAAGAAAGUGGUCGAAAGACUCAUUAAGGUGGGAAUCAUGAGAUUUGAUGACCCAGCCACGCCCAAUUUAGCAGGAAACCCACUCCCUAAUCAUACCGACCAAGGAGUGAAUGGGAUAAGUGAAGGCUUGAACAAGAAGACCAAGUAUGAGGUGGCAGAAAUCAGGACCUCGUUGAAGCGGGUAUGGAAAGAGAUGACUAAGAGAGGAUUGAUAGCAUUGGAUCCAAGGGAAGAACCCGAAGAAGAGAGAAACUACUGUGAGUUUCAUGACGAGGUGGGGCAUGAAAUCCAAGAAUGUGUGGAAUUCAUGGCCCUCGUGCAGAACAUGAUAGAUAACAAAGAAAUGGAAUUCUAUGAAGAAGCUAAAAGCCUCAUAGAGGGAAAUGUAUGCGCAUCCGAGGGAGAAUCAAAGGCGUAGAAUCAAAUGCCUAAUUAUCCCGUGGUGAUCAUUUCGAGACCCAAAAAUAAUGAAGCUGGAGUAAAAAUGCCAUCGAGGGUCAUAAUCCAAAGACCUGCAGUCUUCCCUUACAAAAACAGUAAAAAGGUCCCAUGAAAUUAUGAUUGCAGUGUGACGAUGCCGGGAAAAGAGAGCCCGGUUAGCGCUUCAAUAAGGGAUCAAGAUAGAGGUUCCUAUACACAUAGCGGGAGGCGUUACGAUACAAUGAAUGAGGAGGAACAGCCCACAAAAGAAAAAGCCCAGGUGGUCAAGGAAAUGAAGGAAAAAGCAACCAAACUUGUUAAUGAGCCAGUUAACGAAGACGAGGCCAAGGAAUUUUUAAAAUUCCUAAAGCACAGCGAAUACAGUGUGGUAGAACAGCUACGUAAACAACCAGCUCGCAUUUCAGUGCUGGCCUUGCUUCUAAGCUCGGAAGUUCAUCGUAGCGCACUAAUGAAGGUCUUAAACGAGACAUAUGUUGCCAAUGAUAUCUCCGUUAACAAGCUGGACCGGUUGGUGAGCAACAUAAGUGCCGACAAUUUUAUCUUCUUUAAUGACGACGAGAUACCACCUGGGGGCAUGGGGUCGACUAAAGCUCUGCAUAUCACCACACGCUGUAAAGGGUACACGCUACUAGGUGUACUGAUUGACAAUGGAUCAGCUUUGAACGUCCUGCCAUUGACCACGCUGAACAGAUUACCUAUAGACAGCUCUCACAUGAAGGAGUGCCAGAACAUCGUGAAGGCAUUCGAUGGCACGGAAAGAAAGGUGAUGGGCAGAAUCGAGGUACCUCUCUAGAUUAGGCCAAACACAUAUGAGGUGGAUUUUCUCGUGAUGGAUAUCAAGCCCUCAUACAAUUGCUUGUUGGGGAGGCUCUGGAUACAUUUAGCUGGGGCAGUACCUUCCCCGUUGCAUCAAAAAUUGAAGCUGGUGUCGGAGGGGAGGUUGAUAACGAUUAAGGCUGAAGAAGAUAUUAUUGCAACUGUGAGCAAUAAUGCACCCUAUUUGGAGACAUAUGACGAAGCAAUCGAAUGCUCAUUUCGAUCUUUGGAAUUUGUUAACGCGACGUUCAUCACCGAGGGAAGCAAAAUUUUGGUGCCGAAAUUGUCCAAAACCACGAGGAUGAGCCUCGAGUUGACGAUUGGAAAAGGGGCCCUACCCGGAAAGGGACUUGGGAGACAUCUACAAGGAAGGAUCGAAACGCCAAUGCUGAAAGAAAAGAGAGACCGCUUCGGCUUAGGAUUUAAGCCGGAUGUGAAACAAAGGAGAAGGGAGCCAGAAAAGAAGCAAGAAAGAAGGAGAGCUCGAUUAAUGGGGGAGCAAAUCAAGUGGGAACCAAUGACAUUCCCCCAUAUAUUGAAAACAUUUGUAUCCAGGGGAAUCAUUCAUCCUGAGAGAGACACGCCAAUGAUGGGAGCUAUAAAAGAAAGUCUGGAAAGUUUGGACAUCAACGUCAUGUACGAAAAGGAGACUGGAAGGGAAAAUUUGUCGGGCAUUUGCCCCUACACGCCUGGAAGUGUUCUGGACAACUAGAUUGCGGAAGAGAUCCUUGUAGUUUUUAGAACGGAUUCAGAGUAAUGUCCAAAACACACUUAUUGCUCUAGGCCUAGGAGUGAUAAGAAUCUUUUGUGAAAUAGGCUGAUGUUUAAAAACGAUAUUUCAAUAAAAUGCACAGUUAUUAUCAUUUUUGAGCAAAUGUUCUCUCGUCCUCUUAAUUUCAUUCAUAACCAUACAAAUGAUUACUUUCGGAUUCUUUUAUUCUUGAAACAUUCUUCUAAGUAUUCUUUCAUUCGUCAUUCAUAAUCAUAUCACGCAAAUAAAUGUUUCGAAUUCUUUUGAUUCUUUGUAUCUGCCUUCGUCCUUAUAACAGGUUCCCAAAUAUUAAUGAUACGAGUGACACUGCUAGCGACUCAGAAUUUCCUUUCGAGCAAGAUGUAUGUAUGGAUGAUUCUUAGGAUUUUGAAGAUGACCAAGGCUGUAACCUAUCUCUUGAUUUGUUGAAGAUGGAGGAACAAGACGAGAAAUAAAUCCUACCUCACAAAGAAUUAAUCGAAAUUGUGAGCUUAGGAGAAGGACAAGAGGUAAAGAUCGGAAUAAGUAUCACUGCGAAAAUGAAGCGAGACCUCAUUGAAUUACUUUAAGAAUUCAAAGGUGUCUUCGCAUGGUCAUACCAAGAUAUGCCCGGGUUGGACACUGACAUCGUGGUGCAUCGACUUCCCAUAAAAGAAUAGUGUAAGCCAGUUUAGCAAAAACUCCGAAGAAUGAGGCCCGAUGUCUUGCUAAAAAUAAAGGAAGAGGUUCGAAAGCAGUUUGACGUUGGAUUUCUGAAGGUGGUAAAAUACUCAGAUUGGGUAGCCAACAUCAUCCCUGUCCCUAAGAAAGAUGGAAAAGUGCUAAUGUGUGUAGACUACAGAGAUUUGAAUAAAGCCAGCCCAAAAGACAAUUUCCCACUGCCUCAUAUCGACACCCUAGUGGACAACAUGGCGGGACAUUCACUGUUUUCAUUCAUGGAUGAUUUUUUGGGAUACAACCAGAUCAAGAUGCAUCCUGAAGAUAUGAAGAAGACCAUAUUUGUAACCAUGUAGGGCACGUUCUGUUACAAGGUGAUGCCGUUUGGAUUGAAGAAUGCGGGGACAACUUAUCAAAGAGCUAUGGUAACCUUUUUUCACGACAUGAUGCAUAAAGAAAUCGAGGUUUAUGUCGAUGACAUGAUCGUAAAGUCUCGAACAGAGAAGGAGCACAUACAAGUCUUGAGGAAAUUGUUCUUGAGGUUGAGGAAGUUCCAGCUAAAACUCAACCCAGCCAAAUGUACCUUCGGAGCUAAAUCCGGAAAGUUGCUCGGAUUCGUGGUUAGUGAGAAAGGGAUUGAGAUCGAUCUAGACAAAGUUAAAGCCAUACAAGAGUUAUCCUCGCCGCGCACUAAAAAAGAAGUUCGAGGCUUUCUAGGAAGAUUAAAUUACAUUGCUCGGUUCAUUUCACAACUGACCGAGAAAUGUGGCCCUGUCUUUCGCCUCCUCAAGAAACAUAACCCAGGUGAAUGGGAUGAAGAAUGCCAAAGGGCUUUCGACAAGGUUAAACAGUACUUAUCCAACGCCCCGGUGCUGAUGCCACCUAACCCCGAUAAGCCGUUGAUACUGUAUUUGGCAGUAUUCGAGAACUCUAUGAGAUGCAUGCUGGCUCAGCAUGAUGAGUCAGGAAGGAAAGAAAAAGCUAUUUACUAUCUCAGUAAAAAGUUUACGGAAUGUGAGACAAUGUACCCGUCGAUAGAGAAGUUGUGUUGUGCCCUAAUAUGGACAACCCGCAGGCUGAGGCAAUAUAUGUUGUAUCACACCACUUGGCUCAUAUCAAAGUUGGACCCUUUAAAGUACAUGAUGGAGUCAACAACCUUAAAUGGAAGGAUGGCCCGAUGACAGAUUCUGCUUUCUAAAUUCAACAUAGUCUAUGUGAACCAAAAAGUAAUAAAAGGAAGUGCGAUAGCAGAUUUUCUAGCCAGUAGAGCUUUGGAAGACUACGAGCCUUUGAACUUCGACUUUCCGAAUGAAGACCUAAUGUGUAUUGCUACGACUGAAGAAGGUGCUCUGGAAGAACUUCUUUGGAAACUGAACUUCGAUGGGGCAUCAAAUGCUGUGGGCAAUGGAAUCGGGGCCGUCUUGGUAUCCCCAAAACGAGAUCAUUACCCAUUCACUAGUAAAUUGGAUUUUGAUUGUACAAAAAAUAUGGUGGAAUAUGAAGCGUGCAUCAUGGGUAUCCGUGCAGCCAUAGAACGUAAGAUUAAAGUGCGAGAGGUGUAUGGAGAUUCUGCGCUAGUGAUUUAUCAACUCAAGGGAGAAUGGGAGACUAGAGACCUCAAGUUAAUCGAUUAUCGGAAGCUGGUCCUUGAGUUGAUUAAAGAGUUUGAUGACAUUACCUUCCACUACCUUCCACGAGACAAAAAUCAGAUGGCUGACGCUUUGGCUACCUUAGCCUCCAUGAUCAAGGUGAACAAACAAGAAGAUGUCAAACCCAUCCGAAUGAACAUUUAUGAAAUUCCGGCCCAUUCUUACAAUAUUGAAAAAGAUGAAGAGAAAGAUGAUCACCCUUGGUAUCACGAUAUAUUGCAAUAUGUGAAGAAUCGUGAGUACCCGGACCAGGCAAGCGAGAAUGAAAAAAGAACGCUAAGAAGAUUGGCCAUCGACUACGUCUUAGAUGGGGAUAUAUUAUACAAAAGAAGAAAGGAUCAAGUGCUACUAAGAUGUGUAGACGCUGUAGAGGCUAGGAAAAUCUUGGAAGAAGUCCAUGAAGGCGUCUGUGGGACACAUGCUAAUGGCUUUACAAUGGCCAGGCAAAUUAUGAGAUUCGGGUACUAUUGGUCCACCAUGGAAGGAGACUGUGUCAAUUACGCUAAGAGAUGUCAUAAGUGUCAAAUCUACGGAGACAAAAUUCUUGUGCCUCCUUCACCGUUGCAUGUCAUGGUUUCUUCAUGGCCAUUCUCUAUGUGGGGCAUGGAUGUGAUUAGACCAAUAUCGCCGAAAGCUACCAAUGGGCAUCGAUUCAUCUUCGUGGUUAUCGACUACUUCACCAAGUGGGUAGAAACUGCUUCGUAUGCUAGUGUGACCAAGUCGGCAGUGAGCAAGUUUCUGAAAAAGGAUAUUAUAUGUCGAUAUGGAAUGCCGGAGAGGAUUAUAUCCGACAAUGCAUUAAACUUGAACAAUAGUACGAUAGCAGAAGUCUGCAGUCAAUUCAAGAACAGACAUCACAACUCGUCACCAUAUCGCCCAAAGAUGAAUGGGGCAGUGGAAGCGGCCAAUACAAACAUUAAGAAAAUUGUGGGGAAGAUGACCAAAACCUACAGAGACUGGCAUGAGAAGUUACCAUUUGCCCUCUUCGCUUAUCGAACGUCAGUCAAAACCUCAACUGGGGCAGCCCCUUUUUCUUUGGUCUACGGAAUGGAAGCGGUGUUGCCGAUCGAGGUCGAGAUCCCGUCCCUUCGAGUGUUGUUGGAGUUAAAUUUGGAAGAAGCCGAGUGGAUCCAAUCUCGAUAUGAUCAAUUGAACCUAACGAGGAAAAAAGGUUAAAAGCUAUUCGUCAUGGUCAGAUGUACCAAAAAUGAAUGAUGCAGGCUUAUGAUAAAAAGGUUCGUCCUAGAGAAUUCCACGAGGGAGACCUGGUUUUGAAAAAGAUUCUUCCCAUACAGAAAUAUUUUCGGGGAAAAUGGAUGCCUAAUUGGGAAGGGCCUUACGUAGUGAAGAAAGCUUUCACUGGAGUAGCAUUGAUUCUAGCCGAGAUGGACGAUAGAAACUUGCCCAAUCCUGUAAACUCGGACUCGGUCAAGAAGUAUUUUACCUGAAGAAAGAGAGGCCUGAGUGAAAACCCACAAAGGGUGCUCUGAAAUCCAAAAAAAAACCCGGAGAGGCCAAGGUGAAAACCCACAAAGGGUAUUUUGGAACCAAAGGGGCUUUUGAGUUGAAAACCCAAAAACGGGCAGCUCAAAUUUUGAAUAUGGGGCAUAUGGCGGUCUUGUCCUUCCAAAAUCAACAAGACAGAAGAACAUUACACCUUGGAGCAUCAACAAAAUACGCGGGAUCUCCUGAACACACAUUUGGUUCGAAUGAACCUUUGAGAAAUUAGAAUAGUGAAACUCGUGCUGCGAUAUCUGGGGCAUCUUUUUCUCAUUUUUCGCACCUUACCAGAUUCAUUAUCCUAUGUAUUCACAUCAAAAUUUGCUUAAUAAAAUGACAUUUGUCCAUUAUGAUAAUCUCUUUCGAGCAGUUUUGUCGAAAUCGCGAUUUUUGAACAUGUAAUAUCUACAUAAAAGAUGUUAUGCAUAUUACUCUGGAAAAGUCUCUAAAUAGUACAAGGACCUGAAACAGGGCCACUAGUCAGAACUAACCAGGUUCAAAGUUGGAAAAUAUUGGAAAAAGAGAAAUCCAAAUUAGGACUAUUUCUUCAAAUUUUCUGGCAGAGAUAACGGCUAAGUAAGAAAACGUGAUAGCACAUCAAUGAUGGAACCCGGACGAAUCAUGAGCAAUGAUACCUUAAACGUUUGAAGAGGAAUUAUUCUCAUAGCACUUCUACAUUCAUAAUCAUUCAUUUAGUUAGGAGCACUUGAUUCAUUUCGAUCAUAGCAUUCUAAUUAUCUGACAUAAACACCACAUCUAGUUAGGGACAUUUGAUUCAUCUCGAUCAUAGUAUCCUAAUUACUUGAUACAGGAAACCAAUUCUACAAAUCAUGUCUUUGGAAGACAGUGUAGUGACAUUGGCGAAUCCUACAGAUCCUGCUUCCCUGAAGUUGCAGUGGAGCAGAUCGAAGACGACAAAUCUUGACUUCCUGAAGUUGCAGUGAAGUAGAUUUAAGUCACUAACCUAGCUCCCUAAAGUUGUAGUGGAGUAGGUUGAGAUUUUAGAUCCUACUUCCCUGAAGUUACAGUGGAGCAGAUCAAAAACGACGAAUCCUGACUUCCUGAAGUUGCAGUGAAGCAGAUUUAAGUCACUAACCUUGUUCCCUAAAGUUGUAGUGGAGUAGGUUAAAAUUUUAGAUCUCGUUUCCCUGAAGUUGCAGUGGAGUAAAUCAAAGACAACGAAUCUUGACUUCCUGAAGUUGCAGCAAAGCAGAUUUAAGUCACUAACCUAGCUCCCUAAAGUUGUAGUGGAGUAGGUUGAAAUUUUCGAUCUCGUUUCCCUGAAGUUGCAGUGGAGCAGAUCGAAGACGGCGAAUCUGAGCUUCUUGAAGUUGCAGUGAAGCAGAUUUAAGCCACUAACCUAGCUCCCUAGAGUUGUAGUAGAGUAGGUUGAAAUUUUAGAUCUCGUUUCCCUGAAGUUGCAGUGGAGCAGAUCGAAGACGGCGAAUCUGAGCUUCCUGAAGUUGCAGUGAAGUAGAUUUAAGCCACCAACCCAGCUCCCUAAAGUUGUAGUGGAGUAGGUUGAAAUUUUAGAUUUUGUUUCCCUGAAGUUGCAGUGAAACAGAUCGAAGACGGUGAAUCUUGACUUCUUGAAAUUGCAAUGAAGUAGAUUUAAGCCACCAUCCUAGCUCCCUAAAGUUGUAGCGGAGUAGGUUGAAGAUUGUAGAUCUUGUCUCCCUGAAGUUGCAGUGGAGCAUAUUGAAGCUACUUGAAGAAAAAAAGUACCAAGAAGUCGAGGCUCAGCAGGUCCUGGCAAAUUUGGCCCAUUUAUAGUCUUUACUUUAUUCUCGUUACACGACAAUAUGCAAAGAAGGGCAGCUGUAGUGGGCCAAAUUUGCCCGGUCCGAAUAAAAAUAAUAAAUGAUAUAAAAAUCUAGAUAUCAAUAGUCCAUUAUCUGUCCAAUUACAACCCAAAAUCAAACCAAAUUAACCCUAAUGUUUCAAGACACAAAUUACAAGUCCAUUUACAAAAUGACAUAGCCCAAUACCCCAAACGGCCCAGAAACUGAGCCCCAUUUUGGCAAACCCUAGGGCAAGGGUCUCCUUGUGCCGCAGCCCUCACUAGUGGCCAAACCACAUUGCGCCAGACAACGCCUCCAACAGCACCAGUGCACAGCCCUCGUACGCCACGCCCGUACCUCCGUACGAUGCAGGCAGACUCCGUACCUGCGAAAAAGGCACAUAGAACAGCAGCGAAUGGGGAAGAAGAAAAUAGCAUUUUCAUUUUUUGAUUUUUCUUUCUUUUCGACUAUAAAGGCCAUGUAAUAGCCUAGGUGAGUUUUUUACGCAACAUAAACGCACAAUAGGCCAUACAGACACAAUCAAUACAUUUUGAAAUACAAAAAAGCAACGAGCAUUCGAAGGUGAUUCCGAUUCAUAAUUUCUGAGAUUUUUUCCUUUUCUUCUUGGCUUAGUUUCAUUCUCCCUGGAAUUUCUUUUUAUUCUUUCGCAUUUUGGGUUGUAUAAAAGAGAGAGGAAAUGAAAUCUUACCCCGUGAAUACGCUGUG